rnacentral:tRNA from 1 species
GCCCGAGUGGCGGAAUGGCAGACGCACACGACUCAAAAUCGUGCGGGAAACCGUGUGGGUUCAAGUCCCACCUUGGGCACCA